GACGAACGCUGGCGGCGUGCCUAAUACAUGCAAGUCGAACGCUCCUUUCCUCCCGAGUGCUUGCUCUCAAUUGGAAAGAGGAGUGGCGGACGGGUGAGUAACACGUGCGUAACCUAUCCAUUAGAGGGGGAUAACCGUUGGAAAUAGGUGCUAAUAUCUCAUAACAGUUUAUGCAGCAUGGCAUAAGAGUGAUGGGCGCUCUCGGGUGUCGCUGAUGGAUGGACCCGCGGUGCAUUAGCUAGUUGGUGAGGUAACGGCUCACCAAGGCAACGAUGCAUAGCCGACCUGAGAGGGUGAUCGGCCACACUGGGACUGAGACACGGCCCAGACUCCUACGGGAGGCAGCAGUAGGGAAUCUUCGGCAAUGGACGAAAGUCUGACCGAGCAACGCCGCGUGAGUGAAGAAGGUCUUCGGAUCGUAAAACUCUGUUGUUAGAGAAGAACAAGGACGUAAGUAACUGAACGUCCCCUGACGGUAUCUAACCAGAAAGCCACGGCUAACUACGUG
rnacentral:rRNA from 1 species